rnacentral:rRNA from 1 species
GACUCACGGCAACGGAUAUCUUGGUUCUCGCAUCGAUGAAGAACGUAGCGAAAUGCGAUAUGUGAUGUGAAUUGCAGAAUCCCGUGAACCAUCGAAUCUUUGAACGCAAGUUGCGCCUGAGGUGUUUCUGCCGAUGGCACGCCUGUCUGGGUGUUGCAAAUUA